CUACGGGAGGCAGCAGUAAGGAAUAUUGGACAAUGGGCGCAAGCCUGACCGAGCAACGCCGCGUGGAGGAUGACGGCCUUCGGGUUGUAAACUCCUUUUGCGGGGGAUGAUAAUGACCGUACCCCGCGAAUCAGGCUCGGCUAACUCUGUGCCAGCAGCCGCGGUAAGACAGAGGAGCCAAGCGUUGUCCGGAUUGACUGGGCGUAAAGCGCACGCAGGCGGUUGCGCGCGUGGGGUGUGAAAGCGGCCCGCUUAACGGGGCGAGGCCAUCCCAUACGGCCCGACUCGAGAGUGGCAGAGGUUCGUGGAAUUGCCGGUGUAGUGGUGAAAUGCGUAGAGAUCGGCAGGAACACCAAGGGGGAAACCAGCGAACUGGGCCAUAUCUGACGCUCAGGUGCGAAAGCGUGGGGAGCGAACCGGAUUAGAUACCCGGGUAGUCC
rnacentral:rRNA from 1 species